rnacentral:misc_RNA from 1 species
AAGUCGUAACAAGGUUUCCGUAGGUGAACCUGCGGAAGGAUCAUUAACACGUAUCCACGUUAUCAACCAAUGAGAAUUUGUUUUCCCGUCUCCCUGUGCAAAGAAUGAAUUGGAACCAGUUUGAGGGAGUGAUGGGACCGAAAGGUCGGCCUUCCUGGAACACUUAUGCGAAUAGAAAUAUUUGCAUAGACAAUUGAAUCUUUGUGCAGGCUAUUUCUUAUCGCUUUGAUCUCCAUCAUGAUCGUGGCUGUAGGAAAACCUUUCACACUAUUUACCUUUUUUGCUAGUUGACUUUUUAUAUGUGUUGACUUGCGAAAGCAUAGGCGGCACACGUUUAUUAAUUGAACGUUAAAAAAUACAACUCUUAGCAAUGGAUAUCUUGGUUCUC